AGGNAGGGAUACCCGCUGAACUUAAGCAUAUCAAUAAGCGGAGGAAAAGAAACCAACNGGGAUUGCCCUUAGUAACNGCGAGUGAAGCGGCAAAAGCUCAGAUUUGAAAUCUGGUGUAGUAAAUGACACCCGAGUUGUAAUCUGUAGAGGAGUUUUCGGAGAAUGACUUUGGUUAAAGUUCCUUGGAAAAAGGGCAUCAUAGAGGGUGAGAAUCCCUGUUUAUGACCUUUGUACUUCUCCUUUAUGAAUCUCCUUCAAAUGAGUCGAGUUGUUGGGGAAUGCAGCUCUAAAUGGGUGGUAAAUUCCAUCUAAAGCUAAAUAUUGGCAAGAGACCGAUAGCGCACAAGUAGAGUGAUCGAAAGAUGAAAAGAACUCUGAACAGAGAGUUAAAGAGUACGUGAAAUUGUUGAAAGGGAAGCACUUGUGACCAGACAAAUUUGCAAUUAAUCAGCCAUCAGUUUUGGUGGUGCACUUGAUUGUAGGUGGGUCAGCAUCAGUUAUAGCAGUGGGACAAAGAUCAAAAGAAUGUAGCUCCUCUUUGAGGAGUGUUAUAGCUUUUGGUUUAAUACCGCUUGCCAUAACUGAGGAUAGCACUUUAAUGUAAGGAUGCUGACAUAAUGGUCCUAAGUGACCCGUCUUGAAACACGGACCAAGGAGUCUAACAUCUAUGCGAGUAUUUGGGUGUAAGCCCUUAUGCGUAAUGAAAGUAAAUGGAGGUGGAAACCAUUAGGUGCNCCAUCGNCCGNUCCUGAAGUUUUCUGAUGGAUUUGAGUAGGAGCAUAGCUGUUGGGACCCGAAAGAUGNUGAACUAUGCCUGAAUAGGGUGAAGCCAGAGGAANCUCUGGUGGAGGCUCGCNGCGGUUCUG
rnacentral:rRNA from 1 species